UCGAGAAUCUUUCGCAAUGGGCGAAAGCCUGACGAAGCGACGCCGUGUGAACGAAGAAGGCCUUCGGGUUGUAAAGUUCUUUCGCUAGGGAACAAGGCUUUAGGGGGAAUAUCCCUAAAGUUUGAGGGUACCUGGUAAAGAAGCACCGGCUAACUCCGUGCCAGCAGCUGCGGUAAUACGGAGGGUGCAAGCGUUAAUCGGAUUUACUGGGCGUAAAGGGCGCGUAGGCGGGCCGAAAAGUCAGGUGUGAAAUUUCAUGGCUCAACCAUGAAGCUGCACUUGAAACUUUUGGUCUAGAGGAUAGAGCGGGGAAAGCGGAAUUCCACAUGUAGCGGUGAAAUGCGUAGAUAUGUGGAGGAACACCGGUGGCGAAGGCGGCUUUCUAGCCUAUGCCUGACGCUGAGGCGCGAAAGCGUGGGGAUCAAACAGGAUUAGAUACCCCCGUAGUCC
rnacentral:rRNA from 1 species